GCUUUGAUAGCUCAGUGGUAGAGCGUUGGUCUUGUACGUUCAUACAGAAAACCAAAGGUCUCGAGUUCAAUCCUCGGUUGAAGCU